rnacentral:rRNA from 1 species
GAUGAACGCUGACAGAAUGCUUAACACAUGCAAGUCAUUGGCGAAGCUGCGCUUGCGCAGUCUAGCCAAGGCGGACGGGUGAGUAACGCGUAAGGAACUUGCCCUGCAGACAGGGAUAACAGACGGAAACGACUGAUAACACCUGGUAUUGUCAGGCUGGCGCAUGCCGGCCUGAUGAAAGGAGACGCUGCAGGAGAGCCUUGCGUCCUAUUAGCUAGUUGGUGGGGUAACGGCCCACCAAGGCGAUGAUAGGUAGCCGGCCUGAGAGGGUGAACGGCCACAAGGGGACUGAGAUACGGCCCUUACUCCUACGGGAGGCAGCAGUGGAGAAUAGUGGACAAUGGGGGCAACCCUGAUCCAGCAAUUCUGUGUGCACGAAGAAGGUUUUCGGAUUGUAAAGUGCUUUCAGCAGGGAAGAAGAAAGUGACGGUACCUGCAGAAGAAGCGACGGCUAAAUACGUG